rnacentral:tRNA from 1 species
GGGUUUGGGGCUCAGUAGUAGAGCACUCACCUAGCACGUGUGAGGUACUGAGUUCGAACCUCAGCACCA